CCAGGAGGAAGGCGUCCCCCUGAACAGGAAGACCAGGGAACGGAAGUCAGAGAAGGACAGGAAACACGAGCUGGGGCAGAGGGUGGAGGCCACCUCCGUGUGACCUUGGGCCGGUGCUUAAAGGCUCAGCCUCCUUACCGCGGGGACCCCGGGGCCACAGCAGGAGCGUGAGGAUGGUGCUCGCGGCAGGGCUCCGUAAACACGCUGCGGUCCGGGCACACGCAUGAGGGCGCCUCCGCAUGGGACCCCCAGCGUUCCUAGCUGACUUCUCAAGCAAGGGAGGACGAGCCCCACCCAGGAUACCUCGUCCCGCGCGAUGGCAGACGGGAGCCCAGGCCCUGGAAUCAGGCCCGGGAGCGCAGAGUAACGGACAGGGCGGAUGGAGGCCUUCGGCCAGGCCAUCUGCGGGGACCUGAGCAGGCCUGCAGCUCACCCCGGCCCUCCCAGCCCUGCCGCACAGCAGUGUGGAGGCGCCGCCUGGCACUCCUGCCCGCCCUCGCCACCUGGCACACUGCCUGGCCUCCAGCCGGUGGAAAGACACUGAGCACGCCCAACAGGCACAGGGCCCCCGGCGAGCAGGGCGCCAUGGAGCCGCCCUCUGAGAGCCCAGGGCUCCUGCCAGAGCGCCAUGACACUCGCAUCGCCACCAGGAGGCUUAGGUCAAGGUAGACGCCAAGGGUGGCUCGUCCACCUCAGGGUGGGAGCCCCAGCUGGACUGGGGACCGGGGACCGGCUGCUCUCCCGGCCACCACAGGACGCCCGGAGCUGGUCAGCUGCAGCGUACGAAGCACAGGCUCUGGGCCACGUCGGGGCUCAGCGCUGGGGCUCAGCGGGUGCCUACACUGACGUGAAGCCCUGAGCACACGCUCCUCACGUCACAUUCUCCGUGCUGUGACGCUGACCACAGACGGCCCCACCGGCUCAACCAGUCCGCACUUGGCUACGUCACGUGUGGCGCCAAGACGGUCCGCAGUGUCUUGCUACCAGUGACACGGGAGUGUCGUGGCAUCGACACUGCGGGCCUCUCUUUACAUGGUAUUCUUAGGAACUCAAGAACACCGAGCGGGGCAAGCCCACAGCAUGGCGCGUAAGUUGGCGACUUUCGCCGUCGCUGCUGAACAGAGGAUGGCACGUCACGACAGCCGUGUUUGCUCGGGGUCCCCGGCCCGUCCCCGCGAGCUCCCAACAGGCCAAACUCCUCCUUUCCACGACGGCCCCCCGCUUUCCGGGAGCUCCCCUGCAUCAUGGUCUGAAGAGCCUCUUCUCGUCCCAGCGCCGUUCUCCACCUCUGGUCGGGGAGUACCAUGGAGCUUACAGCUUGGAAAGGGUACGGAGACGCCAGCACUCGGCAUAUGGGCAAGGAGACACAUCUCCGCUCGGGCUCCCUAAGCUGUUCCAACAUGCUUUGUGAUGUAACCCACGAGAAGCUGCACACGGUGCGGAAUGCGAAGCCGUGCAUGCUCAGGAUCUCGUAUUUAGAGGGUUUAUUUGAAAACAUCCUACUCUCCACUGUAUAAAUAAGGGAAAACAGCAUGACAGAAAAGUGUCAUAACUGGUUCUUGGCAUCUAGUGAGAUGAUCCUCCUUGGUACGGGCUGAGGAUGACGCAGGCCUUGGCGCGCUGUGGGCUGGGUCUGCGGGCCUGGCCGCCCGCUCCCAAGGGUUACCCGGGGCCACUCGUUGGCGUCAAGUGGUGAGGCCUCAGGCAUCCAGGCUGGGCAGAACUCUGCAACCCCAAAGCCUCCUCAGAACCCCCGCUAGGAGUCGCAGUGCAGAAAGCCCUGAGGCCAGUGAACAGGCCAGA